rnacentral:rRNA from 1 species
CCCUUAGAUGUUCUGGGCCGCACGCGCGCUACACUGACUGGUUCAUCGAGUAUACAACCUUGACUGAUAGGUCUGGGUAAUCUUCUCAAAGCCAGUCGUGCUGGGGAUAGAUUAUUGUAAUUUUUAAUCUUCAACGAGGAAUUCCUAGUAAACGCGAGUCAUCAACUCGCAUUGAUUACGUCCCUGCCCUUUGUACACACCGCCCGUCGCUACUACCGAUUGAGUGGUCCGGUGAGGCUUUGGGAUCUGAGCGGAAAGAGCGUUUCGCUGUUUCUGCUCGGAAAACUCAGUCGAACCUUAUCAUUUAGAGGAAGGAGAAGUCGUAACA